AGCAGCCGCGGUAAUUCCAGCUCCAAUAGCGUAUAUUAAAGUUGUUGCAGUUAAAAAGCUCGUAGUUGAACUUCGGGGUUUACUCAUUGGUCAGGCUUAAUUGUCUGUACUGGUGAGAUGAAUCUCUACCUUCUGAGGAACUUUCAUGUCAUUUAUUUGGUGUGAUUGGAAAUCAGGACUGUUACUUUGAAAAAUUAGAGUGUUUAAAGCAGGCUAACGUCUGAAUACAUUAGCAUGGAAUAAUGAAAUAGGACGGACUGAUUCUAUUUCGUUGGUUUCUAGGAUCACCGUAAUGAUUAAUAGGGAUAGUUGGGGGCAUUAGUAUUCAAUUGUCAGAGGUGAAAUUCUUGGAUUUAUUGAAGACUAACUACUGCGAAAGCAUUUGCCAAGGAUGUUUUCAUUAAUCAAGAACGAAAGUUAGGGGAUCGAAGACGAUCAGAUACCGUCGUAGUCUUAACCAUAAACUAUGCCGACU
rnacentral:rRNA from 1 species